GCACGCCGCAGUGAAAAAAAAGAAAUAUUAUUUUUUUCAUAAGAAGACUACAAGACUCGACGCGAAUGUUUUUUGGAAACGUUUUUUAAUUUUUUUAAAAUCAUGUCUGGAUGUUAAGGGGAUUUCGUUUGUCGCAAAAGCCCUAAUGAGAACUCCAUUCGUCUGAAACAGUCACUGAAAGAGGACUUGAGGACUUCAUCUUAAGCGAGACGGCCCUCCAGAAACCAAACACAUUAGGCUCCUUCUGACGACAGCUCCGGACCUGCCAUAAACCAGCCAGGCAGAUCAUUUCCAUGGAAACCAUAAUAAAUGC